rnacentral:rRNA from 1 species
UAAUACGUAGGGUGCAAGCGUUAAUCGGAAUUACUGGGCGUAAAGCGUGCGCAGGCGGUUUUGUAAGACAGGCGUGAAAUCCCCGGGCUCAACCUGGGAAUUGCGCUUGUGACUGCAAGGCUGGAGUGCGGCAGAGGGGGAUGGAAUUCCGCGUGUAGCAGUGAAAUGCGUAGAUAUGCGGAGGAACACCGAUGGCGAAGGCAAUCCCCUGGGCCUGCACUGACGCUCAUGCACGAAAGCGUGGGGAGCAAACAGGAUUAGAUACCCUGGUAGUCCACGCCCUAAACGAUGUCAACUGGUUGUUGGGAAUUUACUUUCUCAGUAACGAAGCUAACGCGUGAAGUUGACCGCCUGGGGAGUACGGCCGCAAGGUUGAAACUUAAAUGAAUUGACGG